AUGCGGGCAACGAGGGAUAAGUCGAUCCAGCCAACACAGGCGAUUAUUCUGCUACAGAAUGGAGAAAGGAGGGAGAUGAUCCAGCCGACGCAGGCGAUUCAUGCCGAUGCUUCGUCUGAUCAGAACUGCUCCAUCAAGAUUUCAAGAUGUGGUCAUUCUUCAGUUUCUGUUCUGACAUUCAUGGCGGAUGAUGAUGUAUGGUGUUUACUUUCGUAUAGUGUUUCAGAUUUGGAACCGGAACAAUAUGUUUUGUCUUUGGUUACAGACUUACAGGACCUGCCAAUGGUCUUCUGGAAUUUUAAUUAG
rnacentral:rRNA from 1 species